rnacentral:rRNA from 1 species
AUUGAACGCUGGCGGCAGGCCUAACACAUGCAAGUCGAACGGUAACAGGAAGCAGCUUGCUGCUUCGCUGACGAGUGGCGGACGGGUGAGGAAUGUCUGGGAAACUGCCUGAUGGAGGGGGUUAAUUACUGGAAACGGUAGCUAAAACCGCAUAACGUCGCAAGCACAAAGAGGGGGACCUUAGGGACCCUUGCCAUCGGAUUUACCCAGAUGGGAUUAGCUAGUAGGUGGGGUAACGGCUAACCCAGGCGACGAUCCCUAGCUGGUCUGAGAGGAUGACCAGCCACACUGGAACUGAGACACGGUCCAGACUCCUACGGGAGGCAGCAGUGGGGAAUAUUGCACAAUGGGCGCAAGCCUGAUGCAGCCAUGCCGCGUGUAUGAAGAAGGCCUUCGGGUUGUAAAGUACUUUCAGCGGGGAGGAAGGGAGUAAAGUUAAUACCUUUGCUCAUUGACGUUACCCGCAGAAGAAGCGCCGGCUAACUCCGUG